GACGAACGCUGGCGGCGUGCUUAACACAUGCAAGUCGAACGGAAAGGCCCUGCUUUUGUGGGGUGCUCGAGUGGCGAACGGGUGAGUAACACGUGAGUAACCUGCCCUUGACUUUGGGAUAACUUCAGUAAACUGGGGCUAAUACCGGAUAGGAGCUCCUGCUGCAUGGUGGGGGUUGGAAAGUUUCGGCGGUUGGGGAUGGACUCGCGGCUUAUCAGCUUGUUGGUGGGGUAGUGGCUUACCAAGGCUUUGACGGGUAGCCGGCCUGAUAGGGUGACCGGCCACAUUGGGACUGAGAUACGGCCCAGAAUCCUACGGGAGGCAGCAGUGGGGAAUAUUGCACAAUGGGAGGAAGCCUGAUGCAGCAACGCCGCGUGCGGGAUGACGGCCUUCGGGUUGUAAACCGCUUUCGCCUGUGACGAAGCGUGAGUGACGGUAAUGGGUAAAGAAGCACCGGCUAACUACGUG
rnacentral:rRNA from 1 species